AACAGUUCACAACAAGAGAUAAUUUUUUGGUCCAAGCAAAAGGUGUGAAUGAGAUUCAGGUUUCUUCUUCCAACAAAGCUCUAGAAACCAGAAUUGAUGAACUUACCUCUUUAGUGAAACAAUUGAUGUUACCCAUUCCACCACCACCACCAUAUAACCCUCCACAGGUAACCACCUCUUUACCUUCUAAACCUUCACUAGAGGAACUUGUCAAGCAAAUGGUUGUAAACAGUCUCCAAU
rnacentral:lncRNA from 1 species